CCUACGGGGGCAGCAGUGAGGAAUAUUGGUCAAUGGCCGGAAGGCUGAACCAGCCAAGUCGCGUGAGGGACGACUGCCCUAUGGGUUGUAAACCUCUUUUAUAAGGGAAGAAUAAAUGCUACGUGUAGCAUGAUGCCUGUACCUUAUGAAUAAGCAUCGGCUAACUCCGUGCCAGCAGCCGCGGUAAUACGGAGGAUGCGAGCGUUAUCCGGAUUUAUUGGGUUUAAAGGGUGCGUAGGCGGUAUUUUAAGUUAGUGGUAAAACGUCGGGGCUUCACCUUGAUUGGCCAUUAAAACUGGAGUACUAGAGUACAGACGAGGUAGGCGGAAUAAGUUAAGUAGCGGUGAAAUGCAUAGAUAUAACUUAGAACCCCGAUAGCGAAGGCAGCUUACCAGACUGUUACUGACGCUGAAGCACGAGAGCGUGGGUAGCGAACAGGAUUAGAUACCCCUGUAGUC
rnacentral:rRNA from 1 species